CCUACGGGAGGCAGCAGUAGGGAAUUUUCGUCAAUGGGCGCAAGCCUGAACGAGCGAUGCCGCGUGAGUGAAGAAGGCCUUCGGGUCGUAAAGCCCUGUUGCGGGGGAAAAAAGGCAGCAUGAGGAAAUGGCUGCUGACUGAUGGUGCCCCGCCAGAAAGUCCCGGCUAACUACGUGCCAGCAGCCGCGGUAAUACGUAGGUGGCGAGCGUUAUCCGGAAUGAUUGGGCGUAAGGGGUGCGCAGGCGGUCCUGCAAGUCUGGAGUGAAACGCAUGAGCUCAACUCAUGCAUGGCUUUGGAAACUGGAGGACUGGAGAGCAGGAGAGGGCGGUGGAACUCCAUGUGUAGCAGUAAAAUGCGUAGAUAUAGGGAAGAACACCAGUGGCGAAGGCGGCCGCCUGGACUGUUGCUGACGCUGAGGCACGAAAGCGUGGGGAGCAAAUGGGAUUAGAUACCCUUGUAGUC
rnacentral:rRNA from 1 species